rnacentral:rRNA from 1 species
GAUGAACGCUGGCGGCGUGCCUAAUACAUGCAAGUCGAGCGAACGGACGAGAAGCUUGCUUCUCUGAUGUUAGCGGCGGACGGGUGAGUAACACGUGGAUAACCUACCUAUAAGACUGGGAUAACUUCGGGAAACCGUAGCUAAUACCGGAUAAUAUUUUGAACCGCAUGGUUCAAAAGUGAAAGACGGUCUUGCUGUCACUUAUAGAUGGAUCCGCGCUGCAUUAGCUAGUUGGUAAGGUAACGGCUUACCAAGGCAACGAUGCAUAGCCGACCUGAGAGGGUGAUCGGCCACACUGGAACUGAGACACGGUCCAGACUCCUACGGGAGGCAGCAGUAGGGAAUCUUCCGCAAAGGGCGAAAGCCUGACGGAGCAACGCCGCGUGAGUGAUGAAGGUCUUCGGAUCGUAAAACUCUGUUAUUAGGGAAGAACAUAUGUGUAAGUAACUGUGCACAUCUUGACAGUACCUAAUCAGAAAGCCACGGCUAACUACGUG